GUGCUCACUUCCGCAGCACAUAUACUAAAAAAUUGGAAUAAUAGAGAGAAGAUUAGCAUGGCCCCUAUGCAAGGAUGACAUGCAAAUGUGUGAAGCGUUCCAUAUUUUG
rnacentral:snRNA from 1 species